UUUGUUUCUGACCAAGCAUUGGCUAUGGCUUUCUCAGAUAUCCUUAUAUUUAAGCAAUGUUCUCCCUCCCUCCCUCUCUCUUUUCCUACGUCCGCCCCCUUCCGCUUGUUAAAUAUUCUUGUUUCAUUUGUUUCUUUGAGUGUCAUUACUUCUUCAUUCUUUUAUUUUACUAGCUCAGGCAAUUACUUUAUCAAAUUGCAUUGUCGCUCAUAAUAAUGCUCUAUUUGCUUUGCUGGUAUCCAAUAACUUUUCUGAGACAAGAAGGAAUGUCUUUACGCGCUUUAGCAAGGAUAACAUCCACAGUCUCGCAUACGCAGAUUCAAUAGAGCGUUUCCACAUUUCAGCAUUUCUCUUAUCUGUAUUAGCUCUAAAUAUCUUGGAAGCUCCGAGUCCUUGGUUUGAAAAUUUUAUUUUUGACACGUUUUUGGUUUUCAUCUGUGAAAUGCUAAUCUAUAUCAU